rnacentral:rRNA from 1 species
UACGGAGGAUGCAAGCGUUAUCCGGAAUUAUUGGGCGUAAAGCGUCCGCAGGUGGUUUAUCAAGUCUGCUGUCAAAGCGCGAGGCUUAACUUCGUAAAGGCAGUGGAAACUGAUAGACUGGAGUGCGGUAGGGGCAGAGGGAAUUCCCAGUGUAGCGGUGAAAUGCGUAGAGAUGCGGAGGAACACCGAUGGCGAAGGCAGCCCCCUGGGCUAGCACUGACGCUCAGGCACGAAAGCGUGGGGAGCAAACAGG